CAUAAGUAUCGGCUCCUCCUAUAACUAUGGCAACGAGGACCAGGCCGAAUUCCUGUGCGUCGUUUCCCGGGAGCUCAACAACUCCACUAACAGAAUUGUUAUCGAGCCCACCGAGAAGGCUAAGAUCCUCCAGGAGAGGGGGUCCAGGAUGUGAGGAACCUGGUGCCUGAGCCCACACAGAUGUCCCAUACCUCACUUCCUUUCUCCAGAUCCUCCUCCACCAUACAGCUGACACCAAGUUCAUCAGCCCACCCUGCCCUCCUCCCUUGUGCCUUUCCACUGUGGGGGUUUCAGUCCCCCUCCUCCCUGCAGUGCUGCAACAUUAACCGAUCAGCACCACCACUAACUACCACCCCUAUUAUCGACUAAUCAAAAAUGUGUCCGAGGUUAAACCUCAGACCAUCACAUUUGAUGCAAGACUGCUCAGAGAGAGGAUUACAGGGAAGGAUUCAUCAUUCAUCCUAAUGCUUAUUUAUGCAGACUUCAUCAUCAUCAUCCUCCGCAUAUCCCGGUCAUUAUCAUCAUAAUCUUUACAGCUGCUGUUUUAAGGGGGUUCAGUUGCCCCUGUUGGUUCGGCUGCAUCCACAUGACCAUAAUCUCCUCAGGACUUCCAAAUGGCGUGCAAGAUAGACCGUCAAUACAGCUUCUCAUAACAACCACAUUAACUUACACUGUAAAUCAUUAGCAUCAUUUCAGCAUUCAUAUCCCAUUGCCUGGUCAGACAGAGAGCACAGCAGAUGGCGCAACUGAUAAAACGAAGACAGCGGCUUUUGAACAUGCAGUAUUUUGUCUUCAAUGCAGCAUGUUUCUUCUGUUAACUACCCAUUUACCCGUCUGGAAAGAACCCGAGGAGAAGGGAGAACUCGUACUGCCAAUUGUCCGGUCAGAUGCCCCAAAUCGCGUGUCCGUUGCUGUGAAGAUGUCCCACAUUUCCAAUUUGCUCCGGUUGACUUUUGUCAUCCUUUUGUUUUUUUUUGCCUUAUCGCUGUGGAUAUUUCAAAACAGGAAAUAAAAAAACCAUGUGGUUUUAGGGCAUGUGAGGAUUAUGUAUAUUCAAAACGUAUUAUGAAGAGGCUGAAUGGAAGUCAUGUAAUUGUUGAUAUCUGUACCAUAGUGGUCGUUUUUUGUGUUUAUCAAGAUGAGUUUCUCUUAGAUUGGGGAAGGUUCUGAAUCGACCCCUAAUGUACUUUUUUUAAAAGCCUGGUUGCCGAGAUGUGAAAUUGUUUGGUUGUGUUUUUCCUUUAAACACUUUGUCGAUGACUGGAAAAAAAACAAAAAAAACAGGAGACUUCUUGUAUAGAGGUAUCAGGCUUACAUAGUCCAGGAGGUUCAGGAGACUGUUGUUGGACAAAGUGCCCACAAGUUUUGAGUCAGGGCAAAACUGCAUUAGUGGCUCUUUGUUGCAUUUUUUGACACCAGAUCUAACUCUCCCCGUAACAUUUUGGCUAUUUAACUGUUUAACUCGUUUUUGUUUGAAGUCUGAUCACAUCAGUGCCAGUGGAAUGUUUUUGAAUGUAAAGGGCUCCAUUUAUUAUGAAACGUUCUUGCCAUUUCUUUUUUAUUUCAAAAUCUAAUAUAAUUUCAGGUAAAUCAUUUUAUGUUUGCUUCAUUUUAACAUUGAAGCUCUGUCUUUGAAACUGGUUGCCCUUGUUGUUUAGCAGCAGAUAAACUUGAUCUCCUGUUUUGUCUCCUGUAUUUUGUUUUUUAAUAUUUACAUUGUGGUUUCUCUGAAUCUACUGUGAUUACAUCACAAAUUGUCAGUAUUUGAAUGGUAUCCAGGCUGUAUUUUGGUUAUUCGGUGGUUCGUAUCUAUCGAAGUAUUGUUGAAUCUAGGGGUCUGUGUAAGAUGGCAUCAUGUACGUGGACUAAACUCAUGUCCUUUGGUUUAUCAUAUCAAUAAGGCACAGUAUUUGAGUUUGUGAGCUACUUUGUGGUUGUUGGCUUUCCCUUUCUUCGGUUGUGUUAAUGUUUUCCCCCUCCUGGAGAGAGUUUAUUUGUUCAGCCCCAAUGAUUAGUCAUUGAAGCCCCUGUAAUGGGACCUCGGCUCUCACGGGAUCCUAUUGUACAUUUCCAUUGUUCAAAUAGGUUCAAGGUCUAAUUUCAAAGAAGAAUCCUGGAUUCAAAUAUAGGUGGCGCUGUUUAAGUCUCUCCCCGUCCCAGUUGUUUUGUCUAGUGUUGUGCCUUUGACCUGUCGUGCCCUACAUGUCUUCGCUCCUAGAUUACUCUUCUUUAAAAACAGAAAUGGUGUUUAUUUCAUGUUUGUUUUGACUAAAUCAGUUCUGUUCCUUGACUCAGAUACUGACUGUGCCCGUUUCCCCUGAGGUUGUUAUUGUUCUUGUUUCAGUGGUUCAUCUGUAUUUAGCUUUUCCACUCUUGCCCCUAUGCACUUUUCAUUUUGCACCUACCUGCUUUAUAAUGUUCUCACUGUGUGGAUUUUGUUUUUAGGUUUUGUUCUAUUUUUAGAGUCAAACCCCAUGUGAGGCAUAAGAAAAUGUCAUGAGCAGUCUCAAGUUUUAUUUAGGAAACUUGGGAAUAUAGAUGUCACAUUGACUGCUAUUGCUUUAAGCACUUGAGAUUGUGAGACUUCUGUGUCUCUUUCCUUAGUAAUCUACUAUUCUUCUUUAGGUCUUGUGCCCCAUGUUGUUUAAGAUCAAACAAAAAGAUAUAUAGAUAAAGAUAUUUUCUUUGUGAAAAAAGAUAUAUGCUAUUCUGAAAAACAGGAGGUUGGUGUUUUGGAACGCCAACUUGGAAGCAUGCAAUGUGUCGGGUAUAUAAUGUUAUAUGCUGGGAUGUUGUCAUAUUGUGAAGGUGAAUUGGUGCAUGGACAGUUGACAGAUGGCAUUAAUAAUAUUUAAUAAGUGGAACUUUAAAGAAAAAUAUGGCCCUAUUUUAACUGUUCUACACAGAAAUCGAUAAAACAAACACCGUACUACUGGAAAAACUUGCUUGCUGAGGCUAAAUAUGCUUAUGCGACACCCCAUGUAUCUGAUAAAAUAUAGCUUUCAGCCAAUGUUUUUCAGCUGGCCAAAAGUGCAGACCUCUGUCAUAACUUAUUCAGAUAAAAGUUAAAAACAAGGUCCAUGUUUAACAUAAGAGUUGUUUUUUGCUGCCAUAAUAGUUAGUCUACAACACCUGCAUGCUUUAAUAUACAUUACACACACAUUUUAAUGUGCUAAAAACCUGCUUUUUCAUCAGAUGUUUUGGGUGUAUUGCAUUGUCAACAGUAUUGAUGUAAAGUGUCAAAUAUGUCACUAGGUUGAUGAGAUUGUGGAGCUAAGUGUUCUGGAAAUGUAGUCUUGAUCAGACUGUCCUUUUCAUUUUUUUUCUUUUCAUUUUUAAAGUCUUCUGAUGCAGUUUCUUGCAGUGUACAGAUUGCAAACUGAUAAUGUAUGAUUUUUAUCAUAAAAUGUGUUUGUGUUUCAGA